rnacentral:sRNA from 1 species
GGUGGCAUGUCGCCUCUCGGAUCUCGGCGUGCCCGAUGGCCCCCUGCCUUGAGGAGCAGCCUUUUUGCUUUCUUUCUUUGGGAUAGGAUGCCUCUGGGGUUCUUUCUCCCGCAGUCGGCUCUGUUUUAGAGCACUUUGCUGCAAGGGACCACCACCUGCACGACCAGAAUAUGACCUGGUUUGCAUAGGCCUCACAGGCUCUGGCAAAACCAGUCUGUUGUCCAAACUCUGCAGUGAAAGCCCUGAUAACGUCGUGUCGACCACAGGUUUUAGUAUUAAAGCAGUGCCAUUCCAGAAUGCCAUCUUGAAUGUAAAAGAACUUGGAGGGGCUGAUAACAUCCGGAAAUACUGGAGCCGCUACUACCAAGGAUCUCAAGGGGUAAUAUUUGUAUUAGACAGUGCCUCUUCAGAGGAUGAUUUAGAAGCUGCUAGAAAUGAGCUGCACUCAGCUCUUCAGCAUCCACAGUUAUGCACUUUACCCUUUUUAAUAUUGGCCAAUCAUCAAGACAAGCCAGCAGCUCGCUCAGUACAAGAG